rnacentral:rRNA from 1 species
CAGUCGCCGCGGUAAUACAGAGGGUGCGAGCGUUAAUCGGAUUUACUGGGCGUAAAGCGUGCGUAGGCGGCUUUUUAAGUCGGAUGUGAAAUCCCUGAGCUUAACUUAGGAAUUGCAUUCGAUACUGGGAAGCUAGAGUAUGGGAGAGGAUGGUAGAAUUCCAGGUGUAGCGGUGAAAUGCGUAGAGAUCUGGAGGAAUACCGAUGGCGAAGGCAGCCAUCUGGCCUAAUACUGACGCUGAGGUACGAAAGCAUGGGGAGCAAACAGGAUUAGACACCCCGGUAGUCCCUGUCUCUUAUAC